AGGACGAACGCUGGCGGCGUGCCUAACACACGCAAGUCGAACGAGGUCCAAGGAAGCUUGCUUCCUGAAGACCUAGUGGCGAACGGGUGAGUAACACGUGAGAAACCUGCCUCGGAGUGGGGAAUAACUCGGGGAAACUCGAGCUAAUACCGCAUACCUUCACAUGAUCGCAUGGUCGAGUGAAGAAAGAAUUUCGCUCUGAGAGGGUCUCGCGGCCUAUCAGCUUGUUGGUGGGGUAACGGCCUACCAAGGCAACGACGGGUAGCUGGUUUGAGAGAACGAUCAGCCACACUGGGACUGAGACACGGCCCAGACUCCUACGGGAGGCAGCAGUGGGGAAUCUUGCGCAAUGGGCGAAAGCCUGACGCAGCAACGCCGCGUGCGGGAUGACGGCCUUCGUGGUUGUAAACCGCUUUCAGCAGGGACGAAAAUGACGGUACCUGCAGAAGAAGCCCCGGCUAACUACGUG
rnacentral:rRNA from 1 species